GCCGCGCUAUGGCGGAGCCGGAGUUGAGUGCGGAGUCCUUGCGGGAGCGGCGGGAACUGGGCGCGGAGCACGUGGAGGUGGAGGACACAACGGCAUCAUGCUGCAAGAGCAGUUUCCGUGUCCUUGUGGUGGCAGCGGCAUUCUGUAGGCAGGGGCUGAUGCAGCGGCACCGGUGAGUGUGGGCUGCAGCCCUACAGCAACUUCCAACCUCAUAGCAACCCAGUAGUAACCCUAUAAUGACCCUGUAGUAGCCCCAUGGCCCCCCUAGCCCCACAUUGGCUCCUGUGCUCCACAUCGACUCCCACACCCCACAGCGUCCCCCUAGCCUCACGUUGGCACCGUGCCUCACAUCACCCCCCAGCCCAAUAGCAACCACCCAGCCCCAUCACGCCCCCCCCAUACCACACAUCCCACUGCUCCCCCCACACCCCAUAGUAAUUCCCCCAGCCCUACAUCAGUGCCGUGCCCCACAGCCUGCUGAACGUGGUGCUGAAGUGCAUCCAUGCAUUGGAACAGUGCACUCUGACCCCAGAGCAGUGUGCAGCCAAGGUGGGGGUGGGGUUACAGUGAGCCAUGCCCCUGAUGACAUUACUUCCGGUCACGUGGUGCUGCCUGUCUGGUGGGAAUGGGGGGGGUCAAUGGGAGGACACCGUGGAGAUCCCAGAUCCCAGUUGUGAUCCUGUUACGGACCAUGCCUUCUGUUAUCCCCAUCAGACCUCAAUUAAACAGACCCCCCUUACAUUACAUUAAUUCAUUAAAGUUAAUUACAUUAAUUCAUUAAAGUAAGGCUCUCCAAUUAAAUGUUUUUAAUAGAA